rnacentral:lncRNA from 1 species
GAUGGGGUUUCACCAUGUUGCCCAGGCUGGUCUUAAACUCCUGACCUCAAAUGAUCCACCCACCUCGGCCUCCCAGAGUAUUGGGAUUAUAGGCAUAAGCCACCGUGCCCGGCCAAGGCUAUGUAGCUCUUUUCUUAGGCCACGUAGCUCACUCUUUUCUUAGGCUGUGUAGUUCACUUUCCCAGUGCAAACUUUGGGAAAAGCUCUGUGCCACAGGCUCCAUUCCUGUUUGCCACAUCACAAAUACCAAUCAUUGCUCUAAGGAGUGGAUGAUUUGAUGAGAAUAUUCAGUUCUUACACCACUACUAGAGGAGGAACACUGACUGCCUUGUCGUGGAUGUGGUCUGGCAGUUUCUGUAGGUAGGAGUGGUGGAUUGUCUCCAAAUGUGGCCACCGACAGUGCCUCCCAUUCCUGUGUGUGCAUGCUGCUUCUCCCACUAGAAGGUGUCUUUUACUUUCCUUCUCUUUGCAUCUGGAACUUGUUUUGACCAGUUGGACCUAGCAGAAGUGGGGCCCUGUGACUUCCAGGCCUUAUGAAAUCUUGUAGCAUUGUUUUUCCCUUUUAGAGCCAGCUGUGAUGUAAAGAAGUUUGUGCUGCAUGAGAGAGAUAGCACCUGAAGAAAAUGAGGCCCUGGAGGAUGAGAGACUCUAAAGGAAAAGGGAAGGGCCUGCUGUCUUCCAGCCACGCCAGCCCCCAACUGAGAAGCUGGUGCCCUUGGUGUGGUGGAAGCAAGGUGCCAUGUGAUAAGUAAGCCUCCAGAGAGGCCUGCAUGGCAGGAUCCAAUGUCUUUAGCCAACAGCAUCUGGGAACCUGAGACCUGCCAACACCCUUGUGAGUGAGCCUGGAAGUGGACCUCCUGCUCUUGAACCUUGAGGUGACUAUAGUGCUGGCUGACACCUUGACUGCAGUCCCUGAGCUGGGGGGCCCAGCUGAUCUACUCCCAGAAUCCCCCCUACUAAAACAGUGAUAUAAUAAAUGCUUAUUGUUUCAAGCUGG